CUAUGUGGCAGUGUCAUUUGAUGAGGUGGAUGCCACGUGACAUUGCCACCUCAUCACCCCUAACCAAUUUUACUCCUCCCUCUUCCACCACUAAAAUUUCCUUUCCGUCCACCCUCAUUGUCACCAUUACCGCCAUCUUAAAGAUUAGGAAGACAAUAUUCUCAUGUAUGUCUUUUAUUAUUUUUCUGGCAAGUCCACCUUCUACCCAAACACAUUAGUGCAGAAAUCGCAUUAUGGACACAUUUAUUUGCCAAUUAAUAGAAUCAAUGGUGAGAAUUUUAUUAGCAAGUUGUUUCCGGUUAAGUUAUGUAGUUAUAUUUAACAUUCAUAGUGUUUCAUCCUCACAUAUCAGAGAAUGAAAACUAAGCUGUCACUCGACUGUUUUGCAUUUAAAACAGAUAUACUUAAGUUUGACAUAUUCCUCGGAAAAGUUAACCUCGGAUGAUAUCAAAUACAUGUGCUUAGAAAGCUGAGACAGAUAUCACCCCUGGUGUAAACAGACCCAUUUUUGCUUAAUAUUAUAGAAGACUAAGAAGUAAUAGGUUAGGGGUGAUGAGGUGGCAAUGCCACGUGACAUCCACCUCAUCAAAUAUCAGUGUCACGUAGGAUAGGAUGUCCACCUUGGACAAUUUUAACGGAGGAGUAUAUUUGACUCAAUAGUAUAACGGCAGGGGUAUAUUUGGACCCAAAGUAUAACGAGAGGUAUAUUUAACCCUUUUAUUUGGACCCAAAGUAUAACGAGAAGUAUAUUUGACCCUUUUGGUUUAACUUCCUAACAGGUACGAUGACGACAAAAUUCUUUCAUUAUUUUUUCUCAAAUAUCAAAAUCAAAUAUAAUGUACUGUAGUAGUAUAAUACAGUCGGAAAUAUUAGUGACAAACUAAUUCAAUUAUUCAUUAUUUUGGUAAUUUCAAUCUAACUUUAUCAGAACCAGUCAACGCCUCCUCCAAAACCCCCCAAAAGCCAACUUAAUUUUUCCCAGAAUACAUUCGUGUAUCAAUUUCUGACAUACCCAUUUUUGAAUUUUGCAUGGUUUCUUCAUGAAACAUGUUUGAAUCCAGGCCAAAAAAUGUGUUAAGCUUAGGGGUUAUCCUUAUUCUGGUUUCCUUAUCCUCUGUUUCAUUACCAGUUGAGUCCCAAUGCAAGAAAGGGUCCGAUUCAUUCUAUGUUUGGCGGGGGACAGAUUUCUCUUACAUCGCACGGUUGUUCUCGGUUGUUACUAAUGAACUGUAAUACGUACCAAGAUUCUUAUGUAAUUGCUCUAUGCAAAUAACAUGUUGCUUCCUAAUGACAAUUAAACAUCACUGUUGUCAAAGGCGCUCUUAACGUGCGCUUAAGCCCUGAAGCGAGGCUCAAAACACGUUGAGUGCUUCGCCUCGCUUUAUGUGUACUUCAGCAUCAUCAUCAAGGCUCUAAGACAUACUUUUCCUUGCUAAUGAGCCUUUCUUGAAGAGGGAAUGUUGGCAAGGCUUGGAGCAAGAUAUUACAAGUAGAAUUUCAGCAUGUUGAAGAAAAAAGAAGAAUACUGGCAACUAUUUUGUUGGCUCCUGCUAUAGGCUCUUCCUGUAGCCCUCCUCUCCACAACUGGCAAUCUUAUAUGGAAAUGUAAGGCUCCACCCAAAGUCAGUGGUUUAGUUUGAACGACACUGCACUAUGGUUAUCUUACAUAAGAGGUUACACCUUAUACAAUAGAUGUUACCUUUACUCAGUGAUUCAGAUGACGUCGGUUUUUCUUUGCACAGUCUCAUAGCUACUCAACUAUGCAAGUGCUCCUCUCUAUGUAGUUAAAUGGAACCAUGCCUGGUGAUCUAAGAGGCGCUACCAGCAACUUUCUAGGAAGGGUGAUAGGAAACCUAAAGCCAUCUGCUUGUAUCUAUGGACAAGGCGGAAGGAAAGGAACUACCAAUGUUUUGGAGAUACUACGAUCCGGUUUGGACAUGGUUUGAAACCAUAUUUGGACAUGCAAUUUGGAUAUUUUAAGGAGUAUUUUCUCUUAUAGACAUAAAACCCCACAAGUUGUGAAAACUAUCAAAACAUUCUCAAUUCUUAUACAAUCUUACCAAAUGAGCAAGUCAUAGUUCAUAACAAAACUAAUACGCUAAUUCAUAACAACCGGCUCAAAAUUAAUACUAGAAGACCUUUCUAAAAAUACAACAUCAAUUGGACGGUUGGUGGACAUAAAUAAAAUUGGCAGACAUAUAUAAAUUAAAAGGUUGGUAGAUAUAAAUAAAAUUUGGUGGAAGUUAAUGAGAUUGGUAAAUGAUUGAUGGAAGUUAUUGUUAAAAAUAUCUAUCAACUUGUGAGUCUUUUUUUUAUAAAAUAUAAACUUAUGGGUUAAAUUUUAUAUUUUAAAAAGUUGAAACCAUGGUUUCAAACCACAAAUGAUGCAUUUUUGGAUGAUUUGGAGUUUGAAAUCAUGAGUGAAAACGCAUGUUCAAACGCUGAUUUGAAACCAUGGUUUGAAAAUGCAUGGCCAAACACCUACUACAUCUACAUAUAUACAAGAAUACAAAUGUCUGCACCUGUUAACUUUUUGGAUUAACUUUCCAGAUGUAUAUAACUUGACACAUACUACCUGAUACUCAUUAAUUAGUAAAGUUUGAUUCAUUAUAAAAAGAAUUUGAAUUUUGUGUUGAAGUAGAGCACGGGCUAAGCCUAUCUAGUGACAUUAAGAAUCCUUUCAUGAGUUAAUAAUGAUGGUUACUUUCUACUAAUAUUUUUACUUUUUUUGUACCUUAAUGUUGAAAGGAUAACUGUAUUAAUAAGGUUAAAAGGAUCCUUCGACCUUUGAUGAGCAUUUUAGUAAUUCAACUUUCGACUUCGCUUUCCACUUUUAUUAUACUUAUUAUCACCUCACCAUUUUUGUUUUUAUGAAAAUUAAGAUGUGCAUUAAGAUUUGGAUGUCUGGAUUUGAAUACAAAUAUGAAUAUUAAGAUGUUGUAUUAAGAUCUAAAUAUUAUUUAUUUUCUCAACAUCUGAAUAUAUAAAAGUUAUUUUUAUUUAAAAAUUUAGUAAAAUACUAAAUUAAUCUAAUCUUAUAUCAAAAAAAAAAAAAAAAAAAUCUCGCUUGGGGGUGAUGAUGUUGUUGUGGGUGAUGAUUGGGGAUGGUAUUGGUUUGUUUUUUUUAUUUUUUAGAGGAACCACCUAGCUCCAAAAUCAGAACUUAGGUGGUAUUUUAUUAAUAUGUAAAUAGAAAAUACAUUUGAGGGGAGGGCUUAAACCAUACCCCUAUGACAUAUGAAACUGGACAUAUCCAGUUUGAUGCAUGAUGGCAAGUGCCUUGUACAAGUCCUAAAUCAACUACAUGAUGCAUGAUCUAUAGGGUAGGGGGCUAUAUCUAGAGUAUGCAGCUAAAAACAUGAUGCAUUAACCUAGAUGCAAAGUUUAGCCAACUCUUAUCUUUAGUUAGAGUUGACUACCCUUUACAGUACAUGAGGAUACCUAAUGUAGACACAGCUAAUAUUUACAAAUCUAUUAUUUACAAGUCUAAAAGAAACACUAAGGAGGGUCAAAGGUGAAAAUCUUGUUGCUUUGAGUUCUCGACCUGAUACUGGGCAAACCCCAUCUGUCAAGAUUUAGAACACCUCUAACAGUUUUUGGCAAAUCCUGAAAGCUGGAGUAAGUUACAAAAUCAAUGUGAAAGUGGCUGAUUUGUGCAAGCUUGUCUGCAACCUGGUUAGCCUCUCGAAAGCAAUGCCUGAUCUGAAAUUGAUAUUGAUUCUGUGUCCUUUGUAUCCAACAAAAAAUUUGCUCAAUGUUCCAUGGGGUUUUGCAUUUCCCCUGAAUUGCUUGAACCAGUAAAAGAGAGUCAGCUUCCACUAUUAAGUUGUUCCAUCCCAUAUUGACACACCAUUCGAGUCCAUGUUGAAGGGCUUUAGCCUCAGCCAGUUGUUAGUGCCACAACCAAGAUUGAUGUUGUAGGCAGAAAUCAUCUUUCCUUUCUCAUCUCUAAUGAUUCCUCCUCCUCCACAAGCACUUCCCUUACAGCUGCCAUCACUAAGUUUUACAUAAUGGGGAGGUGGGGGGGGGGGGGGGGGGGGGGUACCAUCUUAUGAAUUUGAUGCUUUUCUUGGUCAUAUUUCUGUUCAAGUUGUUGCACAUAUUCACCCAGUCUGCAGUAGUUUGAACAAGAGGGAACUGUCUACUGACAGUCUGCAUUAUGUGUGAGAUGAUGUUUUUAGUGGAAAAACUGCUGUUGAAUUUGAUGGAGUUGAAUCUUAUAUUGCAUCUGGAUUUCCAGAUUUCCCAGCAGAUCACAUAGGGCAGGAUGAUUUUAAUUAGGCUUGCAACAGGAUUUCUGGCUUGCAUCCUCCAGCAAUUUACUAAUAUUUGUCUUAGAGGAAUUCCUUGUACUUUAUUGCCUAGUGGAUUGCAGAUAUUUGACCAUAGAGUUUGAGCCAAAUCACUCUGUCCAAACAGGUGUUCUGAAGUUUCUAUAUUGUGAGUACUGCAGCAACAACAUAUAGAAGGACCAUGAAUUUUGAAUCUGCCCAUCUUAUUGUCUGUGGAGAGCCUGUCUUUAAUCAUUCUCCAGAAGUGAAAAUUAGUUUUAAGACUGACACUUUUGUGCCAAGUUCUUUUGUCAUGCCAGUCUCCUGCUGCCCUCUUCCUCAGCAAAUUCCAAGCAGAAGAAAUGGUAAAAUUCCCUUCUGUGUUGGGCAUCCAAAUUGCUUUGUCCCUCUUUGUAGGGGUAAAGUUAAUAAUGAUGAUCUGGAUUGCCAUUCUCACUGCAAAGGGAACUCGGUACCCUGCCCUGUUCCACAUCCAGUUACCAUUAAUGUACACCUCAUUCAGCAGACUGUUGUUUGGAAUCACCUCCUCUGGUAACAAUUUGUAUAAUGCUCCAUUUCUUGACCAAUUGUCAUACCAGAAGGAGAGAUGACCUUGACCUAUUUUCCAUGUAAUAUUAUCUUCUAUCUGAUCCCUAACCUUGCACAUUUCCCUCCAGGUCUGGGAUUGCACCCCUAUCACUUUCCUGAUGAUUGGGUUCCUUGUUGAACAAUAUUUUGCCAUCAUAUACUCCUUCCAUAGGGAAUCCUUAGUUCUCAGGUUCCACCAUUGUUUGGCAGUGAAUGCAUUGCUGACAUCUCUCAGACAUCGCAGUCCCACCCCACCUUCUUCACUAGGUAGGCACAUGGUCUCCCAACUACUCCAAUGGUAUUUUCUCAUGGAUGCCUUAUCACUCCAUAGAAAUCUUGUCAUAGCACCUUCUAUCUGUUCAAAGGUACCCUUUGGAGGUUUCAUUGCUGCCAGUAAGUGCACUGACAUGGCUGAAAGCACAUGUUUGAUCAGUACUAUUUUACCCCCCUUUAGAGCGAAAUUUUGCAUGCUAGGAGUGAAUUCUGCUAGUUAUUGAGUUCACCAUCUCAGAGAAGUAGUUGAUUUUCAUCCUUCCUACAAAGAGAGGGCAUCCCAGGUAUUUUAGUGGCCAAUCUUUCCUGUUCAUCUUUGUAAGAUGAAUCACUCUAUGAAUUACUUCCAGAUUGGCCUUAGGAGCAAAGGCUACACAGCUUUUCUUUUUGUUUAUCAGUUGACUUGAAACAUUUUCAUAUAUAGUUAGUAACUUCAAAAUUUUCCCGAUGUCUGCAGGUUUACCUGAUGUGAAGAUUAUGAUGUCAUCAGCAAAAGCCAAGUGGGUGAUGCUUGGUCCUUUUUUGGGUCUGUAGUAACCUAGGUACAGGUGCUCCAUCAAAAAAAUGCAAGUAUAGCAUUGUGAAUAUCUGAAAGUGUUAUAUCUAUGCAUGUUUGAAAAUUUUUUGCUCCAAACCCAUCAGGGCCUGGGGCACUAUCAGGCUCUAUGUUAUUGACAACAUAUGUUACCUCAUGGGCAAUAAGUCUGGCAAUUAGCAUUGUGUUCAUGUCUGCUGUUACUACCUGAGGGACUUUGUCAAGAAUUCUGAAAUUUCCUCUGAUUUCUUCAUAUUUGAACAACUCCUCAAUGUGUUUUAUUGCUGCAUCUGCUAUGUUCUGGUGGCCUUUUAUGUUGUUUCCCUCAUUGUCACUUAUCUUAUGGAUAUUUAGCUUCCUCCUUCUGUCCUUAAUGACCUUAUGGAAAUAUGCACUGUUUUUAUCUCCAUCCGGUAGCCAUCUUGCUUUGGCCCUUUGCCUAUAUAUUUCAUCUUGGUUCUUCAACAGUCUGAUGUACUCAGCUUUUGCCUUGUUCAGGCUGCUUCUAGUCUCCUCAUUAUUGUUUUCUGUGUGCUUCUUUUCCAAUUCCUUUACUUCAUUUUCAGCCUCUUUGCUAUCUCUAAAUAUGUCCCUAUAUGUUUCUCUGGACCAAGAACUGAGCCUUCUUGCUACUGCCUUCAAUUUGCAGUGUACUUUCCACAUAGCUGUGCCUUGAACAGGCAUGCUCCAUUCUUCUUUGACUAUGUCUUUGAAGUCUUUAUGAUUGCACCAGAUGUUAAGGAAUUUGAAAUAUCUUAUUGGGCUGCUCCUUUCUUUUUCAAUAUCUACUAGGAAGGGUGCAUGGUCAGACCCAGUCCUAGAUAAGUGGUUUACAUUUGUGCCAUUAAAGGCCUCCAUCCAGGCCUCAUUAAUAAUGAGCCUAUCCAGUCUCUUCUAGGUGGUUUUGGGAUGCCCCCAAUUGUUGCACCAAGUGUAUUGAGCACCUGUAUAUCCUGCAUCAAUCAAGCCACAGUCAGCUAGGCAUUCUAAAAAGUCAAAGCUCUUGUUCAUGUUAUAAGGCAGACCACCCUGUUUUUCUCAGGGUUAGUGAUCACAUUAAAGUCCCCUAUCAUCCCCAAAGGUUCCUUUAGUUUGUUGGAUAGAUUCUGCAGUUCCUCCCACAAAGGCUUUCUAAGGGGUAUAGUACAUUUAGCAUAGACAAUGGUCAAGUAAAAAUUAGUACUAUUGCUAGAGCAAGAGAUAUGACAAGUAAUAUGCUGUUGAGCAUUUUCAAUGAUUUGCAGAGUGAUGGAAGGGUCCUAAAACAGCCAAAUUUUCUUAUUAAGAUUAUUAUGGCUGUGUUGGAAACCCAAUUUCAUCAUAUAUUUAGUAAGGUGUUUAGCUUUCCUUUUAGGUUCCUGAAUGCAUAUAAAGGGGAGCUGGUACUGUGUCUUGAGGCCCUUUAACCUCUCACAAGCACCUAGUGUUUUUAUGCUCCUAGCAUUCCAAGAUAGGAAUCUAAACAUCAUUAGAGGUAGGGGUGCUAUAUCUGGACCCUUGAGGGGUACCAGUUUUGUCUCCUUUGAGGAUACAUGUUCCUCUAGGGGAUAAGUUGUUAGAAUCAGAAAUUUUAUUAAUAUUUAGAGGAUUCUCAUCGAAAAUGAGUUUCCUUCUGGCAGUUGGAGUGCCCUUGCUAUUCAGGGUCAUCUCACUGUCACUAUAAACCUGGGCUGUGCCAAUCUCAUUAUCAUGAGUAUGCACCCUGUUGAUUUCUUCUGAGUUUGUAUCUUCUUCCAUGGUCUCCUUGGAGACUUCCACACCUGCAUCUAAAGGGAAAAAUUCUAUUAGUGCAGCAAAUCUAUUCUCAUUCUCUAUGUGUUUUUCUUUGGCUUUCCUCCCAUGUAUGUCAGGUGCUGCUACUGUUGUGUUGCUAUUCUUUAUCUGCAUAAUUUCCUCUUGUGUGUGCAGCCAAGAUUCUUGUUCCUGAUCCAGGUUGAACUGCGGAUGGAUGGUAUUGGUUGAUGGUGAUAGUUGUUGUUAGUAGCUAGCGAUAAUGGUGGCUGGCCAGGGAAGUAGUGCUAAUUGUAAGAUCAUUACUUGUCAAACGUAGAGAAUAACUUUUCUUUACACAUUUUAGCGUAAGGCCUGUCGUGUACAUUGUUAUUCAACUAAUUAGUAGAUAAGAGGCUUUUCCUCUCGUUUCACAACAAACAAAAGGUUUUGUUUUAAUGAAUGUACGUAUUGCUAAAACGAUGUACUUUCAGAUGAUAAAAAUGAUGGUGCAAUGGUGGUGGUUUAUGUGGUAGUUGGUGGUGACAACCGAUAAUUAUGGUGAUAAUUGUGGUGGAUGAUAAUUAUAAAUUAUUGCAAUAAUUAUAAAUGGUGGCUAGUAGUGUUGACGGCUGACUCUGGUGGUUGUGGCUGAGGAUAAUAGUUGUGCAUGGUGGUAAUUGAUCAUAAUACUGGAUAGAGGCGGCAGUUAGCGGUGCAAGAGGAUGGAAUAAUGGUGAACUGCCAUCUUUGUAGAAAUAAUUGAAUAGACGUAUUAAUUAUAUUAAAAUUUUAUUGUAGAUUUUAAUUGUUUAGAUCUAUUCUGACCCAUUAAAUAGUUGUAAAAAAUAAAAAAGAACAAUAACACUUCGUAAUUAAGAUCUGAAUAAUUAAAAUAUUAGAACCAAAACAAAUUUAAUAAUUGAAAAUCGAAAUAAUUAAAAUUUAUGUUUAUUCUAGCUUUGGUCCUUGUGUAAUUCGACUGAUAAUAAUUAAUCUUUAAUUAAUAUAAAUGUGCAAUUUUGAUCCUUCAAACUAACGAAAGUUAAAAACUUAACGGAAUCAUUAAUUUUAAAAAUAUAAAAAAUUAUAAAAAAAAUCUAAAGUGAAGGUUAGUUUGAUUAGAAGCCUAACCACCAUUGACAUGCACGAUAAUGAGGUCGUUUGCCAACCCAAGU